UACAGGUUGGUAUGUUCACAAAAAUUGGUUCGCUCUCUUAUUUUACAUCUCACCAUUCCAUCCCAGAUGAGAAGCAAUUUUGUUCGAAUGGGAAUCCAACGUAUAACUCAGAAGGCGAAAUGUAGCAAUUUCUGGGGAUGCUAAGAUUCAUUUAAAGAUUGUUGGUAGACGUGUAGUCGCUGCUGAUUUCUUUAAUUUGUUAGUCCAUUUCUAUUUGUAACCCGGAUACUGGUUCAAAACUGUUUAACUACAAUAUAUUAUACUUGUGCAUUUUAUGGGCAAAAUACAUGUAAAUUAAUUGAAUUUAAACAUAAAAUGCUGUGAACUGGAUUUAUUAAGCAAAAAGUGCAA